GGGCGAAUGGUCUAGGGGUAUGAUACUCCCUUCGCAUUGUCUGAAUCUUCUUUCAGUGGCUGUAUGGGAGGGGUCCGGGGUUCAAUUCCCCGUUCGUCCA